AUUGAACGCUGGCGGCAUGCUCUACACAUGCAAGUCGAACGGUAACAGGCCGCAAGGUGCUGACGAGUGGCGAACGGGUGAGUAAUGCAUCGGAACGUGCCCAGUCGUGGGGGAUAACUACUCGAAAGAGUAGCUAAUACCGCAUACGGUCUAUGGAUGAAAGCGGGGGACCGUAAGGCCUCGCGCGAUUGGAGCGGCCGAUGUCAGAUUAGGUAGUUGGUGGGGUAAAGGCUCACCAAGCCAACGAUCUGUAGCUGGUCUGAGAGGACGACCAGCCACACUGGGACUGAGACACGGCCCAGACUCCUACGGGAGGCAGCAGUGGGGAAUUUUGGACAAUGGGCGCAAGCCUGAUCCAGCAAUGCCGCGUGCAGGAAGAAGGCCUUCGGGUUGUAAACUGCUUUUGUACGGAACGAAACGGCUCUGGUUAAUACCCGGGGCUAAUGACGGUACCGUAAGAAUAAGCACCGGCUAACUACGU
rnacentral:rRNA from 1 species